UACGUAGGUGGCAAGCGUUGUCCGGAUUUACUGGGCGUAAAGAGCGCGCAGGCGGUCGUUCAAGUCGAGUGUGAAAGCCCCCGGCUCAACUGGGGAGGGUCACGCGAUACUGAUCGACUGGAAGGCAGGAGAGGGUAGUGGAAUUCCCGGUGUAGUGGUGAAAUGCGCAGAUAUCAGGAGGAACACCGAUGGCGAAGGCAGGUCUCUGGGCCGAUACUGACGCUGAGGAGCGAAAGCGUGGGGAGCGAACAGG
rnacentral:rRNA from 1 species